rnacentral:rRNA from 1 species
GAUGAACGCUGGCAGCGUGCCUAAUACAUGCAAGUAGAACGCUGAAGGAGGAGCUUGCUCUUCUGGAUGAGUUGCGAACGGGUGAGUAACGCGUAGGUAACCUGCCUGUUAGCUGGGGAUAACUAUUGGAAACGAUAGCUAAUACCGCAUGACAACAGUUAUUGCAUGAUAACUGUUUAAAAGUGGCAACUGCUCCACUACCAGAUGGACCUGCGUUGUAUUAGCUAGUUGGUGAGGUAACGGCUCACCAAGGCGACGAUACGUAGCCGACCUGAGAGGGGGAGCGGCCACACUGGGAGUGAGACACGGCACAGACGCCUACGGGAGGCAGCAGUAGGGAAUCGUCGGCAAGAGACGGAAGUCUGACCGAGCAACGCCGCGGGAGUGAAGAAGGUUGUCGGAUCGUAAAGCUCUGUUGUAAGAGAAGAAAGAGUGUGAGAGUGGAAAGUUCACACUGUGACGGUAUCGUACCAGAAAGGGACGGCUAACUACGUG